AAGAAUUUAGCUAAACAACAACUUUCUAAUUGACAUUGAUUUCUCCUCUUAUGCCUGGGUGUUCGCACCGAGGUUUUU
rnacentral:ncRNA from 1 species